rnacentral:rRNA from 1 species
AUGAACGCUGGCGGCGUGGAUAAUGCAUGCAAGUCGAACGGAACUUUUAUAGAAGAAGUUGCGAUUACAUCAAGACGACAGACAUAAUAGUUUAGUGGCGAACGAGUUAGUAACACCUUGGUAUCUCCCCCGAAGUCGAGCAUAACGGGUCGAAAGAUCCGCUAAUUCUCGAUGGUCUCGCAAGAGUAAAGUCGCAAGACGCUUCGGGAGGAACCUAGGUCCUAUCAGCUUGUUGGCGGGGUAACGGCCCACCAAGGCUAUGACGGGUAGGGGGUGUGAGAGCACGACCCUCAACGAUGACACUGAGACACGGGUCAUACACCUACGGGUGGCAGCAGUAGAUAAUAUUCGACAAUGGGCGAAAGCCUGAUCGAGCGACGCCGCGUGCGGGAAGAAGGCCUUCGGGUCGUAAACCGCUUUUGCGUGGGAAGAAUUUUGACGGUACCACGAGAAUAAGGGGUUGCUAACUCUGU